rnacentral:rRNA from 1 species
UGCCUUAGUACGGCGAGUGAAGCGGCAAAAGCUCAAAUUUGAAAUCGGCCAUCAGGUCGAGUUGUAAUUUGUAGAUUGUACUUUGAGAGCGGAUUAAAGUCUGUUGGAACACAGCGCCUUAGAGGGUGACAGCCCCGUAAAAUCUAUUCUCAUUGUAAGGUACUUUCGAAGAGUCGAGUUGUUUGGGAAUGCAGCUCUAAGUGGGAGGUAAAUUCCUUCUAAAGCUAAAUAUUGACGAGAGACCGAUAGCGAACAAGUACUGUGAAGGAAAGAUGAAAAGCACUUUGAAAAGAGAGUGAAAAAGUACGUGAAAUUGUUAAAAGGGAAGGGUAUUGAAUCAGACGUGGUGCUGUUGUUCAACUUUGUUUCGGCAUGGUGUACUCAGCAGUACUAGGCCAAGGUGGGGUGUUUGGGAGUGAAAAAGGAAUAGGAACGUAGCUCUUCGGAGUGUUAUAAUCUAUUUUCAUAGCUCCUCAGGCGCCUCAGGACUGCGCUUCGGCAAGGACUUUGGCAUAAUGAUUCUAUACCGCCCGUCUUG